rnacentral:rRNA from 1 species
GAUGAACGCUGGCGGCGUGCCUAACACAUGCAAGUCGAGCGAACGGACGAGAAGCUUGCUUCUCUGAUGUUAGCGGCGGACGGGUGAGUAACACGUGGAUAACCUACCUAUAAGACUGGGAUAACUACGGGAAUCCGGAUCUAAUACCGGAUAAUAUUUUGAACCGCAUGGUUCAUAGGAGAUAGAGGGUCUUGCUGUCACUCAUAGAUGGUUCCGCGCUGCAUUAGCUAGUUGGUAAGGUAACGGCUUACCAAGGCAACGAUGCGUAGCCGACCUGAGAGGGUGAUCGGCCACACUGGAACUGAGACACGGUCCAGACUCCUACGGGAGGCAGCAGUAGGGAAUCUUCCGCAAUGGGCGAAAGCCUGACGGAGCAACGCCGCGUGAGUGAUGAAGGUCUUCGGAUCGUAAAACUCUGUUAUUAGGGAAGAACAUAUGUGUAAGUAACUGUGCACAUCUUGACGGUACCUAAUCAGAAAGCAACGGCUAACUACGUG